rnacentral:rRNA from 2 species
GAUUAGCCAUGCAUGUCUAAGUACAUGCCGUAUUAAGGCGAAACCGCGAAUGGCUCAUUAAAUCAGUCAUGGUUCCUUGGAUCGUACCUUACUACUUGGAUAACUGUGGCAAUUCUAGAGCUAAUACAUGCAGCAGAGCUCCGACCUUCGGGGACGAGCGCUUUUAUUAGACCAAAACCAAUCGGACCUCGUGUCCGUCCUUUGUGGUGACUCUGUAUAACUUUGGGCUGAUCGCACGGGCCUGUCCCGGCGACGUAUCUUUCAAGUGUCUGCCUUAUCAACUUUCGAUGGUAGGUUACGCGCCUACCAUGGUCGUAACGGGUAACGGGGAAUCAGGGUUCGAUUCCGGAGAGGGAGCCUGAGAAACGGCUACCACAUCCAAGGAAGGCAGCAGGCGCGCAAAUUACCCACUCCCAGAACGGGGAGGUAGUGACGAAAAAUAACAAUACGGGACUCUUUUGAGACCCCGUAAUUGGAAUGAGUACACUCUAAAUCCUUUAACGAGGAUCCAUUGGAGGGUAAGUCUGGUGCCAGCAGCCGCGGUAAUUCCAGCUCCAAUAGCGUAUAUUAAAGUUGUUGCGGUUAAAAAGCUCGUAGUUGGAUCUCAGUUCCAGACGGGUGGUCCUCCUACCGGUGGCUACUGCCUGUUCUGAACAGUCAGCCGGUUUCUCUUGAUGAUCUUCACCGGUUGUCUUGGGUGACCGGCAAGUUUACUUUGAAAAAAUUAGAGUGCUCAAAGCAGGCGUGACGCCUGAAUAAUGGUGCAUGGAAUAAUGGAAUAGGACCUCGGUUCUAUUUUGUUGGUUUUCGGAACACGAGGUAAUGAUUAAGAGGGACAGACGGGGGCAUUCGUAUUGCGACGCUAGAGGUGAAAUUCUUGGACCGUCGCAAGACGAACUACUGCGAAAGCAUUUGCCAAGAAUGUUUCCAUUAAUCAAGAACGAAAGUUAGAGGUUCGAAGGCGAUCAGAUACCGCCCUAGUUCUAACCAUAAACGAUGCCAGCCAGCGAUCC